rnacentral:rRNA from 1 species
GACGAACGCUGGCGGCGUGCUUAACACAUGCAAGUCGAACGGAAAGGCCCCUUCGGGGGUACUCGAGUGGCGCACGGGUGAGUAACACGUGAGUAACCUGCCCUUGACUUCGGGAUAACUUCAGGAAACUGGGGCUAAUACCGGAUAGGAAUCCUUGCUGCAUGGUGGGGGUUGGAAAGCUUCGGCGGUUUUGGAUGGACUCGCGGCUUAUCAGCUUGUUGGUGGGGUAGUGGCUUACCAAGGCUUUGACGGGUAGCCGGCCUGAGAGGGCGAGCGGCGACAUUGGGACUGAGAGACGGCCCAGACGCCUACGGGAGGCAGCAGUGGGGAAUAUUGAACAAUGGGCGGAAGCCUGAUGCAGCAACGCCGCGGGCGGGAUGACGGCCUUCGGGUUGUAAACCGCGUUCAGCGGGGGCGAAGCUUGUGGUGACGGUACCUGCAGAAGAAGCACCGGCUAACUACGUG